AUUCGAAAACACGGGAGCUAUAUUGCUGAGAGGGAUCCGCUAAUUGCGGUAAACCGACCGUCUGACCUGAUCCGGAUAACGCCGGCGGAGGGAGUACCUUACAUGAGUGA
rnacentral:ncRNA from 1 species